CCGCUUAGAGGCAAACGGGUGUAGUCAAGCUUCGAGUUACUUGUAGUGGGCGGACCAGAAUGGCGUGAGCUUGAGCAUAUUUGUACUGGUUGUAGGUGCGUCAAAAGGCGUGUUCGGCUCGCAAGAGUUGGAUGUGUGGAGUGUCAUACGAUGCCGCAUACCUAUGAUUAGUUUGUUCUGCUGGUCCACUUUAUUUCAGGUAGCGUUUCCACGACCGUCGCAGCUGUCGGUCUGCUUCGUCUAAACCGUAGCGUGAGUAGCCUUGUGUUUCUUGCGUUGCGGGGGCAGGUAGCUAACUUGGCUUCGGCCGGGUUAGUGUAAUCGCCGGGCGGAGUGGUAUCUGUGCAGUACGGCGGGGCUGGCGGUGCGUGGUACCGGGCGUGCUAAAGUAUGUUGGCAUGGCUUGAGUCUGGCUUCAUGUUGCUGUCAAAGAUGGCCUUGGAGUGGCUCUGCUAUGGUUGAUGUACGGCGGCGGCCGGGUCACCUUCGCGUUGUGC
rnacentral:rRNA from 1 species